rnacentral:lncRNA from 1 species
GACCAAUCUUUAUCCCAACUAGAUUUCCAAGCUUCCCGUGAGCCAAAUCCUCCCAUUCGAAGCAUCCUCAGCUAGAUCCCAGUCAAGAUAAGUCUUCCGGAUUCCUCUGUUUUGGGAUUAAUCCCAGCCGAGAUCCUCUCGGUUCAUGGAUUGUAUUCCAUCUCUCAGCCAUUCCCACGUCAACCGCAUCCUCCCCUAUUUCGGAACAUGAGCAAUAUCCACUCUCAGCCGUAAACACCAACCUCAUCAACUUUCUUCCUAGAUCUUGCUGCUCAUUCCAGUUGUGAUCCUUAUCCACGAACCCAGCGUCAUCAUCCUCUCUCACAUCCAUUUCCUCCCAAACAAUCUCCUUCUGGAUUUUCC